UACGAAGGGGGCUAGCGUUGCUCGGAAUCACUGGGCGUAAAGCGCACGUAGGCGGAUCUUUAAGUCAGGGGUGAAAUCCUGGAGCUCAACUCCAGAACUGCCUUUGAUACUGAAGAUCUUGAGUUCGGGAGAGGUGAGUGGAACUGCGAGUGUAGAGGUGAAAUUCGUAGAUAUUCGCAAAGAACACCAGUGGCGAAGGCGGCUCACUGGCCCGAUACUGACGCUGAGGCACGAAAGCGUGGGGAGCAACAGG
rnacentral:rRNA from 1 species